ACCGGUUUUACUAGGGCUGCCGGAGACGCUGACAAAUGAUCAAAUAUCCUUUCCGCGUACAGGCGCUGGCCCGUCGCACUCCGCCAUUGCCUCGGCGCCACCGGUGACCUGGAGGCUGGAGUCCCCCGACCCGGUCCCUCCCCACACGCCCACUUCGACCGCAAGGAGCAGCCCACUAUGGCGAUUCCAGGGAUUGCCGAGGACGGACAGGACGGCGGUGAUUCGGCGCCGCGGCAGGCAAGCGCGUGAAGGGGAUGCGCGGAUUAUGGGCCAUGGUGUCGCCAUCUAUGUUCUGCAGGGCUGGAGAAGAUGGCCUACCGGCUCUGUGCUCCCUGCUGAUAAACCGCCCAAACUUCUUGAUUUUGACAUAGCCUUAAUCCAUCUGAGAGUAGCUCCUAAGGAAAACAACACAAGCAGCACCAGGGCGAAGGCAUCAUCUCUGCAUAUGCAUGUUAUCACACAUGCCACGGUAUAAUAAACUUACAUGGCACUUACUUUCCAUAUUGUAAAGAGCGAAGAACAAUUGAACCGUGAAACUGCCUUUUAUUCAGUUCACCAAGAAAUCCUGCAAGCCAAAAAGACCAAUUGAACCAUAAAACUGUCUUUUGUUCAUUUGUCAGAGAAAUUGUGCAAGCAAGAUAAGGAGCACCCAAGCACAAUAGGCAUGGGAGGCAUUGAGAAGAUACCAAAAAAUAAAAUAAAAUCUCAGCCUCUAAUUGUUGAAGGGAAUAAAGUGUUUAUGCUUUUCUCUGUUCCCAUGAUCACUGCUUAUAGACCCUCUUUUUUUUCUCGUCCUGACUCACCUUGAAAGUCACAUUAGAAGCAUACAACUCAAUAUCUUCUGUUGUCUCUAAAAAAUAUAUUGUUCAAGUCAAAGGAAGGGGAAUGAACAUCUGAGAACAAUAGGCAUGGGAGGCAUUGGGAAAACAUGGGAAACAGUUCUCAGCCCCUAUUUCCAGAGGCAAAGAAGAGGUUUAGCUUUCCUCAAUGUUCCCAUGACCACUGUUCUCAGACCCUCUUUUCUUCCUCUUCCCUACUCACAUUCAAUGCUUCAUCAUCUGAUCCUAUGUGUUCACUGUUCACCUUAAAGGAACAUCCUACUACACAUUCGUAGUUUCUACUUUCUCCCCUCAAAAUAUUUCAGCAAGCUAAAGGAAGUGGAAGGAGUACCUAAGAUCGAUAGGAAUAGGAGGCAUCGGGAAAACACAAAGCAAAUCUCUACCUCCGAUACUGGAAAGCUCUAGGCUUUCCUCCAUGUUCCUAUUCCCACUGCCCUUAGGGACUCUCUCUUCCUCUUCCAGACUCACUCUCAAGCCCUUAAACUCCACAACUCUAACACAGAAAGCCCAGACUGUUGAACAGGGCUAUAGUAUUCUGAAGUGUAUAUAUAGGCCUCUAGUGCAAUGCUCUAAAAUGCUCAGAUAGAACCGCUGUGAGCAAAGCAACUGAAUGAACACACCUACUGCAUAGUACACCAUAAGGAAUAGCUGUCAAUGAUAUCGGGGACACAUAAUAGUUAACAUGGAAAGUCUUUUUUUUUUGGCGAGGAACAUGGAAAGUCUUAACUCCAUGCAGUGCAUUUAUGAGAAGGGUAAGAAAACUAGAAAAGGAAACCUUGCACUCUAGGAUUCUUGUUAAGGUAGUAUGGAGAACAGGACAGGCCACAUGUCAUUAGAGCUGCAAAAUUGUGACCCUCAGGGUACCCUUUGACCCUCCUUAGUUUAACCAAAUGAACUAAAAUUUCAAAAUGACACAACUUUUUGAAAAUCUAGUUCAUUUGUUUGAACUAAGGAGGGUCAAAGGGUACCCUGAGGGUCACCAUGUUGCACCUCUACAUGUCAUGGACCUAAUUGCUGGGCUUUGUGCACACAAUUUCGUAGCAUCACACUAGUCAGGACUUGUUUAACAAGUGAACCUUCAAGUAUCAACAUCGUGUGGAUUUUCAACUUUAGUUAAUGAUCACAAAGGAGCACAUUUAGUUGACACUGUUAUGUUCCUAUGGAAAAUAAUUAAGCAAAGCAAGUACCAGUAUCACUGCCCUCAAUGUUUACCCAAAGGAAUGAUAGUUAUAACAAGAAAACAAAACUAGACAAGCAAACUAAUGCAUCUAUUUAUGUUGCAAACGAAUAAACAUUAACCACAUUCCCUAGCAAGAGCAAACUUAUGGGUUAUUUUCUUUACAAUAUCAAUCCAAUGUUGUUGUACACUUUGGUUCAGCGUGAACAUCUUGAUUUCAGCUGCGCAUGCAUCUGCUGAAGCCCCUGUUUUUGCCAGGACAUGCUUAAUAAAUAAGCAGAUGAACAAAUAGCCUUGAUGAUUUCCAGUUAGCUUUUAAUAGCUUGGUCUCUGCUUCACCACACUGUAGAUGAACAAAGAGUGUUGAUGAUUGCAAGCAUCUUAUGUAUUUAAGGGGAGAGUAAUAGGAACCACUGCCUUCUCAUUGAAGCAUGUAGAAUUGUAGAAGUUUCAAAUACCGUCAUUGCGGUAGUAUUAGUUUCCUUGCUACUUAACGUAUCCCUCCAUUCGCUUCUGCUACAUGACACAUGAUCUAGGAUAUAGCUGACCAGGAUAUGAGCAGUGUAGCCGAUCUGAAUGAUUUUGCAACUAAGAUGCUAACUACUCACAUAAGCUAUCAAAUGUUAAUGUGAAUGUGCUAUUUUCUUCUAUUUCUCUCCACUCUCUACUCCAAUUACUAUCCUUGAAACUUGUGUUUUAUCUGCGCUGAGCAAGUGUUUGGUGCAACAAAAGAACUAGCGAUAAAUAUGUCUUAUCAAGAAUACUAUGGCGCCCUUUCUUUUAAUAUUUUGAAUAGCACUAGGUUCUUAUAACCUCUAAUUCUCGCAGUUGUGCUUCUUUCCUUCAUAAUUGAUCAUUGAUGCUCAUCAGUUACGAGUUAACAUGCAUGGUCUUUUAAACAUAUGUGUUCUUGCGCAUGUAUAAUAAGAUAAAUAUGUCUAAUUAAUCUGCAUCCACUCUUCUGUUACGGAGAAAAAAGUUCUCAUGGAAUUGUCCAAGAAAACCAUUGGACAUGCCUGGAGUUAGAUCUGCCAUGAAAAAGCCUUCCGGGGAAGUCCUAUCUGUAGAGAAGAAUCAAGUGCCUCAGAUUGGCCAGGAGAAUGUACCAGUCGAGCCUGUUACCUCGCAGACUGCUAGAAUGGGUUACCUGUGGGAAUUCAACAGGAAGCAGUAAUGACCAUACAAAUCAUCCAGGCGGACGAGUGGCUGGUGUGUGAAGCUGCAAAGUGAAUCUCACCUUAGCACCGCAAUCUAACUGUACUUUUCUCUUAGAUCUUCAGAGUAAUAGUCUUUCUGCUAACACCCUGUCUUGAUAUAACUGGAUAGCACAUGACAUUCUAGAAAGAGUGUUUUGUUAUUUUUUCUAUUUUUCCUCUAGAAUCUGAUGUUAUAUUGUUCAACCAGAGCCAAGCCAUUAUCAUAACUUAAGACAGACAUGAACAAAGCUACAGUCAUUCCCAUAGUAUUAAGACUUGGUAAAGUACAUUUGGUUUACAAAAAACUUACUGGACAUUUCUCAGUAUACUACUGUGAGCCAAAGGAGCAAGGAGCACCUAAGAGCCACAGGAAUGAGAGGGCAUUGGGAAAACUCCAAGUACCAGCCUCCAUUGUAGGAGGAGCACCUAAGCUUUUCCUAUAUAUUCCCAUUCCUACUGCUCUUAGAUCCUCUUCUCUUCCUCUUCCUAAACUCUCAAGGAGCCAUCAUCUUGAUCUAUGCUUAAAUUUUCUGCUCUGUUCUACUAAGACAAGUGUGCAAGCCAAAGGGAAGGGGAAGGAGCACCCAAGAACAAUAGGAAUGGGAGGCACUGGGAAAACACGAAGACAAUUCUCUUCCUCCAAUUCUAGGAGACUUAUGCUUUCCUUUGUGUUCCCAUCCCCACUGCUCUUGGACCCUCUCUUUCUUCCUCUUCCCAGCUAGCCCUACUAAGGAUCCAAUUUUCUGUUAAGAACUAAGAGUAUUCCAACCCUUGUUGCACAAAUGUUUCAGAGCUUUGAGGUAUAUAUGAACCUCUUUGGUGUGGUGCUAUGAGCAAUGAUGACACCAUCUGCAUGUUGCACCAAAGGACAUAGCACUCAAUAAUUCUAGGCAUAUGGAAACUAGUUGUUUAUAACUUUAUAUAGAUCAGCAGUUGCACUUACGGGCCACCAUAUUUGAAAAGCCAUAACUUAGUCCUAAUAACAGACUUGCAUUUACAAUGGAAGGAGGAAAGGAGGAACCACAUUUAUUUGGAUUAAGAGUGAGGGCAUUGUGGGAAGACAGGAUAGACACGUGGCACAUCUGAUGCAAUGCCUUUCUCGUUAGAUUUUGAGCAAAGAGGAUGAAAACAAUAACUCAUAUACAACAAUGAGAUUAUUUACCAACCAAAGUUUUGUGUUUGUGUGCACAGCAAUUUUAAUGGAAACAACUAGACAAGCAAAUUUAGAAACUAAUUUUACUUUAGAAAUUGUGGAAACUAUCAGGAAAAGUCAUGCACAAUCCCUUGCAAAAAAAAACAUGAAAAAUAUUCUGGUCCAAUACAGAACACGUCGGUUCAGCACGCAUUUCUGCUGAUGACAAAAUUGAUCUUCCAAUGCUCCUAAACUGCCGAUCACUAGGGUUAGAAGAGGAGAAUCAAAUAUGUUGUGCUCUCAGUGCCACUAAGUCUUCUCGCUAAACCCUAUAACGUUUGUCAUUCUCUUGAUACACUUAUCAUGUUAGAGUAGCCAAUAAAUUAGUAUUGUUCCAUCCUACUUUGAUCUUCGGUUGUUAUACAGGAGUAACUAAUGACUAGUGGUCAAUGGGCAUGGUGGAUGAAGAGAGGACACCACCCCAUGGGCCUUGUUGCUGGAUGCACAGAUGUUGAAAGUAAUUGUUCUCGAUUUGGACUGACUAGCAAGCAAUGUACAGAGACAUCAACAGGAAAGAGAAUCACUUCUUACCAUGUUGUGCAAUGGAAGAUUUAAGAGUGUAGCAUGAUAAAUAAAAGUAGGCAAAGGGAAGAUGGAAUCUGCAUAUGUACUAGUUCAUAAGUUACAGAUGUUUUGAGCCUGUAAGUGUUCUGUUUCCUGAUAUUAGAUCAGAAAUUUGCUAGCUUGGAUCUUACCUGAUGUCACCCUCUCAUGAUUCAGUAUAUUACCAUACAAGAACUCAUUCACAAUAAUGUACACUAAAAUGUACUGUUCUAGUAGAAUCAGAACCCAACUUUGAUGAUGCCCUUUGGUAAUAGUUUCACAGAAGCCAGUC